AGUUCGGUCCCUAUCCGUCGUGGGCGUAGGAAAUUUGAGAGGAGCUGUCCUUAGUACGAGAGGACCGGGAUGGACAUACCUCUGGUGUACCAGUUGUCGUGCCAACGGCAUAGCUGGGUAGCUAUGUGUGGACGGGAUAAGUGCUGAAAGCAUCUAAGCAUGAAGCCCCCCUCAAGAUGAGAUUUCCCAACUUCGGUUAUAAGAUCCCUCAAAGAUGAUGAGGUUAAUAGGUUCGAGGUGGAAGCAUGGUGACAUGUGGAGCUGACGAAUACUAAUCGAUCGAAGACUUAAUCAA
rnacentral:rRNA from 1 species